ACGCCCAAUCAUUGUGUCUUCCUUCAUGAUUGCUUAUAACUCUCAUGCUUCACUUCAACUCAAUUGGUCUUAUCAUGCUUACUGCAACUAGCAUAUAACUUAAAUAGAAACUAAAUAGAAAUCCACUAAAGCCUCACCAAAUGCUCCACAGAUCCAAGAGCCCCCCCUCCCCGAAACCCAUCUCGAGGUCCAUCCCCAGUCCCACAACCCUUUUAGUAGCAUUAGUUUGUAUUGGAGUAGUUACUAUUCUAUACUUAUAUAUAGUCUUGCUAUAUUAUUAUUGUUCAUGAUCCAUCCAUCCGAACGACAAUGUACAUUAUUCUUGUUUCCUAGUCUUGGUGCAAAAUUUCGUGGAUUUCAACAUUAGAUGUCAGUUUGUUUCUGUAUAUAGCCUUGCCUUUGAAUAAGAUACAUUGACCUCAUAUCUUGUUUCCUAGCUAUAGUGAAUGCCUUGAGCUUUUCUCUGUGUCACUCUAGUUCUCCCCGGACAGAACUAGGCAAUGCUACAAUGAAUCCAGUCGAAGUCUCUAAGGUAAUGUUAAAGUUCUUUAUGUUCUUUAAUCAACAAAAGCAGGUGAAUUUCCAUCCAUGUUGUGAAGAAUCCUAUAUUCCUGGAGAAAAUGUGAUGAAAGCUAGAUGACAACAGUUGCAGAGGGAUUACAUGACAUUAUGCUGGUAUCUUAAACUUCCAAUGAGCUGUGAAAAAGUAUGACAAUGCCAAUUACCAUUUUGCUUUGGACAUUAAUACUAUAUCAUGUAUCAUGUCUAUAUAUUCAUAUUACUAAACAUAAUACCUUUCAAUCGUAAAUGAUAUUUGUUAAUAUGCAUAUAUCUACAAAUAUUGUUCACUAUGGCAGCUAGUAGUACAAGCCAUCAAUUUAACUAUUUCAUUAUUUACAUCAACUGGCAAAUUAUCUCAAUGUUUUCUAAUUUUGAUGACUACACUGCAGACAUAAAGGAACUAGGUACUGCAGAUAAUGAAGGAAUUAUAUUCUUACUUCCAUACAUCACUUUGACAACUUAAGGUGGACAUGGAGGUGCUCUCGGCUGAAGCUACAUGAUCUGGCAUCCUCAAAUCAUUGCAUAGCAUGUUUAUCUGUUCCAACACUUGAUCAUUUGAACAUCUUGUUUUAUUACCAUCAGUGUCUUGAUUAUCUUGACCGAGUUGAGAAGCAACAAAGUUGUCAAGUACUUGCUAAUCAGUCAAUUGACUGCAAUGCUGCAAUUUAUAAUCUUCUUGUGUGAGCAUUAAGGACUGCUCAAAUCCAUAUGGAACUCCUGAACUGAAGCUCACACUUGCUGCAGAAUGCAGGACUUCCUGUCCUUCUAACUGAGGAGGUUGCAGAUAUCGUUCAUGGGAACGAAAAUGCUGCAACUGACCAAGCUCUUGUUUACAAGUAUAGUUCUGAUCAUUAUGGAAUGGUGUAUAAGGAUUAUCAGUUAUCUGCCUUCGUGAUUCAAAGUCAGGCAGCAACCGGAUUUGGUCAUCAUACCAGUUAGACAGUGGCUCAUGCUCGUCCAUUUUCCUCACCGUUGUUAAUCUUUUCUUAAAAACCCUACACACAACCCAUCCCUCUUCCUGAAAGACAAUAUUGUUAGCAAAAUUUUAUAAACUAGGUACAAGAUAAUUAUUGAAUCAUUAGAAGCUUAUAUAUGUAAAAAAAAAAAAUGCUUAAUUGGUUUUUAUCUUCA